GGGUCUUCAUGGCCCGACCUCCACCCUCUGUUGUUAAAACUACCUUGUUGCUUUGGCGGGACCGUCUCGGUCUCCGAGCGCACUAACCCUCGGGUUGGUGAGCGCCCGCCAGAGUCCAACCAAACUCUUGUAUUAAACCAGUCGUCUGAGUAUAAAAUUUUAAUUAAAUUAAAACUUUCAACAACGGAUCUCUUGGUUCUCGCAUCGAUGAAGAACGCAGCGAAAUGCGAUAAGUAAUGUGAAUUGCAGAAUUCAGUGAAUCAUCGAAUCUUUGAACGCACAUUGCGCCCCUUGGUAUUCCGAGGGGCAUGCCUGUUCGAGCGUCAUUACACCACUCAAGCAUCGCUUGGUAUUGGGAACGGUCCGUCGAAAGGCGGGCCUUCCUCGAAGACCUCGGCGGGGUUCAACCAACUUCGGGCGUAGUAGAGUUAAAUCGAACGUCUUAUAAGCUUGGUCGGAUCUCAUUGCCGUUAAACCUUUAAAUUUUCUAGGUUGACCUCGGAUCAGGUAGGGAUACCCGCUGAACUUAAGCAUAUCAA
rnacentral:rRNA from 1 species